UACGAAGGGGGCUAGCGUUGUUCGGAAUUACUGGGCGUAAAGGGCGCGUAGGCUGUGCUGUAAGUCAGGCGUGAAAUCCCCGGGCUCAACCUGGGAAUUGCGCAUGAUACUGCGGCGCUUGAAGACGGGAGAGGAUGGCGGAAUUCCCAGUGUAGAGGUGAAAUUCGUAGAUAUUGGGAAGAACACCGGUGGCGAAGGCGGCGUUCUGGACUGCAACUGACACUGAUGAACGAAAGCCAGGGGAGCAAACGGG
rnacentral:rRNA from 1 species